UCCAGACUCCUACGGGAGGCAGCAGUGAGGAAUAUUGGUCAAUGGCCGAGAGGCUGAACCAGCCAAGUCGCGUGAGGGAUGACGGCCCUACGGGUUGUAAACCUCUUUUGUCGGGGAGCAAAGGGCGCCACGUGUGGCGUUUUGCGAGUACCUGAAGAAAAAGCAUCGGCUAACUCCGUGCCAGCAGCCGCGGUAAUACGGAGGAUGCGAGCGUUAUCCGGAUUUAUUGGGUUUAAAGGGUGCGCAGGCGGAAUGUCAAGUCAGCGGUAAAAUUUCGGGGCUCAACCCCGUCGUGCCGUUGAAACUGGCGUUCUUGAGUGAGCGAGAAGUAUGCGGAAUGCGCAGUGUAGCGGUGAAAUGCUUAGAUAUUGCGCAGAACUCCGAUUGCGAAGGCAGCAUACCGGCGGCGAUCUGACGCUGAGGCACGAAAGCGUGGGUAUCGAACAGGAUUAGAUACCCCAGUA
rnacentral:rRNA from 1 species